CUUACGGGAGGCAGCAGUGGGGAAUAUUGCACAAUGGGGGCAAGCCUGAUGCAGCGAGGCCGCUUGGAGGAUGAAGCCCUUCGGUUCGUAAACUCCUGUAGGGCGGGCGGAAUGGUGACAGUACCCNNGANAAANNCCCNCC
rnacentral:rRNA from 1 species